UUGCACCUGAUGGCGAGUGGCGAACGGGUGAGUAAUGCAUCGGAACGUGCCCAGUCGUGGGGGAUAACGCAGCGAAAGUUGUGCUAAUACCGCAUACGAUCUAUGGAUGAAAGCGGGGGACCUUCGGGCCUCGCGCAGUUGGAGCGGCCGAUGUUAGAUCAGGUAGUUGGUGGGGUAAAGGCUCACCAAGCCAACGAUCUAUAGCUGGUCUGAGAGGACGACCAGCCACACUGGGACUGAGACACGGCCCAGACUCCUACGGGAGGCAGCAGUGGGGAAUUUUGGACAAUGGGCGCAAGCCUGAUCCAGCAAUACCGCGUGCAGGAAGAAGGCCUUCGGGUUGUAAACUGCUUUUGUACGGAACGAAAAGGUCUGGGUUAAUACCCUGGGCCCAUGACGGUACCGUAAGAAUAAGCACCGGCUAACUACGUGCCAGCAGCCGCGGUAAUACGUAGGGUGCAAGCGUUAGUCGGAAUUACUGGGCGUAAAGCGUGCGCAGGCGGUUUUGUAAGACAGACGUGAAAUCCCCGGGCUCAACCUGGGAAUUGCGUUUGUGACUGCAAGGCUAGAGUACGGUAGAGGGGGGUAGAAUUCCGCGUGUAGCAGUGAAAUGCGUAGAUAUGCGGAGGAACACCGAUGGCGAAGGCAGCCUCCUGGACCUGUACUGACGCUCAUGUACGAAAGCGUGGGGGGCAAACAGGAUUAGAUACCCUGGUAG
rnacentral:rRNA from 1 species